rnacentral:rRNA from 1 species
GAUGAACGCUGGCGGCGUGCCUAAUACAUGCAAGUCGAGCGAACGGACGAGAAGCUUGCUUCUCUGAUGUUAGCGGCGGACGGGUGAGUAACACGUGGAUAACCUACCUAUAAGACUGGGAUAACUUCGGGAAACCGGAGCUAAUACCGGAUAAUAUUUUGAACCGCAUGGUUCAAAAGUGAAAGACGGUCUUGCUGUCACUUAUAGAUGGAUCCGCGCUGCAUUAGCUAGUUGGUAAGGUAACGGCUUACCAAGGCAACGAUGCAUAGCCGACCUGAGAGGGUGAUCGGCCACACUGGAACUGAGACACGGUCCAGACUCCUACGGGAGGCAGCAGUAGGGAAUCUGCCGCAAUGGGCGAAAGCCUGACGGAGCAACGCCGCGGGAGUGAUGAAGGUCUUCGGAUCGUAAAACUCUGUUAUUAGGGAAGAACAUAUGUGUAAGUAACUGUGCACAUCUUGACGGUACCUAAUCAGAAAGCCACGGCUAACUACGU